CCCGCCCACCCGGCGCGCGGCGGCUGCGCUGAGGGGAGGCGGGCGGCAGGUAGAAAAGAGGCGUUUUAUUGGUGAGGUCAGUCUUGUCCCAGCGUCCCCCGGAAAGGACGAAGCGUUUCUGCCGGUUGCGCCCGUUCUGGCCGUCCGGCAGCACCGGGAGGUCUGGCACACCACAACGGGGUGUGAUGUUUUCGAGACAUGUCCUGGAAGAGAAAAGCAAAGCUGUCACUUCUGUGUCUGGGAUAUGAGAGGUCUUGAUGGAGGGAUGGACAUCUACCAACAGCAGACCUGCAGAGGGCCAGGAGGCACCAGGCAGCUGCUUCAAGGCACACGGAGAGCAGGAGUGGAGAUGGACUCCAGGGAAAGCCCGCAUUGUGGAACUGGGAUGGGAAUUAUCCAGCUAUUGUCAUUUGGUGUUGGAGCACCCAGCAGCCCCAGUCUGGGUAUGGGGUGUUGGCAGUGCAGCCCUCGCCCACACCUCCUACUGGCACAGCCUGAGGAAGUCACCACGUUCUGUCUCAGAGGAGCGAGCCUCCUUUCCCAGCUCAGCCCUUUGGCUCCCUUCUCAUUCAUCACCCGACAGCACAAGGUGCACAGGAAGGAAAACAGCUGCAGUUAGACAUGGGGAAACAUCUCUUUGUGCGAAAGGACUAAAAUUAGCCAGGAGAGCAUGUGAUGGCAUGGCAGAGCUCUCUUACGAGGGCAGAGAAGGGAUGAGGCCAGAAAUUCAUGUGUAGGCCACUGACAACCAUGCAGUCCUCCUCCCUGCAGUCACUGCUCCACCCCACAAUGUACCCUAGCAGGGGCACUGGGAGUGGGAUGAGGCACAUUGCUGUCAUCUUACUUGCCGAGAGCAACCACUGUGAUGCUGGCUGUACUUGGAGGCACUAGAAUGCCCUUCAGGAGCCUUGACACCAGAUAAGGAACAUGUACCCAAAAGGAAAUCUGGGAUGAUCCUUUCUAUCUGGAAGGAUGGAAAAACAUCUGUCCAUUUCAACCCUCAAAGCAGCACAGCCACUCUCUGCAAAGACUGAAUGAAACGCUGAUUUACAACCCUGAUCUCCACGUGGCUGAUCAAACACACCAGCACGAGAUGUUCCUUAGCAAAACAUAUUUGUAGGGGUAUCACGUGGAGUUACUCCAGCCAAGACAAAAGUAUGAGCACUCAGGAUGCGGAGCGCUAACCCAGAGUGAGGAGGAAACAGUCUCAGGACAGCAGGCUACCAGCUGGGGGUCCGGCCAGCCCUCGCAGCCGGCCGGCAGCUGCACGCACCAUGGGAGGAACGCGAACGGUGCGAGGAUCGGACCCACGUUUGUAGGAUGUGACACACGUGACCGGCUCUCCCGUCCCCUGGGAACCUCGCGAGUCCUCGCUGGCAGCAGGACCAAAGCCCGCUCAGGUCCCUUCGGGAGCGGCAGCAUCCCAGGCUGCGUGCGGCCCCC